GUGGGGAAUCUUCCGCAAUGGACGAAAGUCUGACGGAGCAACGCCGCGUGAGUGAUGACGGCCUUCGGGUUGUAAAGCUCUGUUAUCGGGGACGAAUGGCUGGUGUGCUAAUACCACAUCAGAGUGACGGUACCCGAAUAGCAAGCCACGGCUAACUACGUGCCAGCAGCCGCGGUAAUACGUAGGUGGCAAGCGUUGUCCGGAAUUAUUGGGCGUAAAGCGCGCGCAGGCGGCUUCUUAAGUCCAUCUUAAACGUGCGGGGCUUAACCCCGUGGUGGGAUGGAAACUGGGAGGCUGGAGUAUCGGAGAGGAAAGGGGAAUUCCUAGUGUAGCGGUGAAAUGCGUAGUUAUUAGGAAGAACACCAGUGGAGAAGGCGACUUUCUGGACGAAAGCUGACGCUGAGGCGCGAAAGCCAGGGGAGCGAGCGGGAUUAGAAACCCUUGUAGUCC
rnacentral:rRNA from 1 species